UCGCCCAAUCCCCGCGCGCGCUCCGCUCCCAAUCCUGGUCGCGGGGUUGCUGCGCCAGAGCCCACACCCGCACCAACCCUAGCCGCCACACCUCUCCUUCCUCCCUCACUCGACAGCGCCGCACCCCUUCCCUCCUUGCUGCUCUUCCGGAUAGCCGCCGGCCGCCGCAUCCCUUCUCCCCCUUCCUCCUUCCCGCUGGCGCCGACGAGCGCGACCACGCCCUCCUCCGGUCCUUCCUCCCCCCCGUAGCCAGGAGUCGAGCCCUCGUCACGAGGAAGCCACGGGAGGAGGAGCUCAACCGGGCGUCGCUGGCCGGAGAAGGAGGAGAGUCGCGGAUGCCUGCCAAGGAGGCGGAUCGGCUCGCCUCCGUCAUCAAUACAGCCUCCGCGCCACCACCCUUCUCCGCUCGUGAGGAAGCCUCGGGAGGAGGCGAGUCCUCAUCGCGAGGAAGCCGCGGAAGGAGGAGCUCAACCGGGCGUCGCCGGACAGAGAAGGAGGAGAGGCGCGGAUGCCUGCCAGGGAGGCGGAUCGGCUCGUCUCCGCGGCUGGAAAGGGCUCGGUGUUACAAUUACAACAUGGGGCUUCAAGUGUCUAUUACUAUGGAACACCAAUAUCCGUGCAUUUUAGUUACGACUAAGUGCCACACCAAUGAAUGUGAAUGUCUGUUCAGGUAAUAAGUAUCACGAUUAGCAAUUUCGGUUUGUCCCCAUAGUCUAUGUGUGUCCCAUGUCCUUUCAGCACCUUCUGCUAUUUUCCUGCAUUUUUCUUCCCUUCUGCUGCAGAUUAAAUGACUGAAAGCAAACAAAUAGUUAUUCUGGACUAUUCAGAUUAUCAAGUACAGUAUACUGCAACAUAUCAGCUUCUUAAAUUUCUGUUGCAACCUAGCAUAUACCAGCAUAAAAAAGUUUCUUUUGCUCAUCAUGUAUAUUAUGUUCCUCUAAAUCACGUGUACCAUUUUCAGGUAUUAAUAGUGCAGUACUACAUGAAGGCAAUAUGUUAGCAUAUUAGUGUCCAUCUUGGUUCUGGUGAAUUGAUUUGGGAACUCUUGAAAUCUGUUUCUUGUAUAUUGGCCAUGAUAACUCUUCACCUGACAUUCUGCAAUGGCUUCCAGCCAGGGUUUUCUUGUUGCUGCUAUUCCUCGUGGAUAUUCAAGAGGCAACUUGGCACCUAAUGUCAACAGCAUGCUUAUUGGUGACGAGUGAAAUGAAAGAAGGCUGCAAUGGAAUUUGUAUUAGAAGUUUCUCCAUGAUGGCCUUUUCCACCUAGAAAGAGCAUCAAGGCCAUUGACCCCGUUUUUGUUCUAUAGGCAUCUGUUCUUCAAAUGAGGCUCCAACAUGAGCAAGGGCAUGGUUUGCAGAUGAUGUAUCUACUUUAUGUGUGUCAAAAGAGCCCUCCGACGCCCAGCCGCUGGUGUCUCUGCCCGAAGAAGGAUCAUGGUUCCCCACCUCUCUACAACUCAUAUUAAAAUUUUGGUAUAUUCUUUUCUUACUUUAUUUCCCGUGAACAAAAAGUUGGAACCUAUUCUUAAUUUCCCAUAGUGGUUUUGAUGGUAUUUGGUCAGUGUGUUCCUGGCUGGAAUUGCAUGUAUAUCUUACAUAUUUAAAUUGCAACAAUUAAUAAGGAGAAUAGAAGCAUUUGCAUCGUCUAAUACUUUGCCUGCCAUGCUUAGCGAGAAUUCAAAAUAGUGACCUUUGGAUAUCAAUUAUGGGUUUGUAAUUUUGUGCCAGGACCUAAAA